rnacentral:rRNA from 1 species
CAGCAGCCGCGGUAAUACGGAGGGUGCAAGCGUUAAUCGGAAUUACUGGGCGUAAAGCGCACGCAGGCGGUCUGACAAGUCAGAUGUGAAAUCCCCGGGCUUAACCUGGGAACUGCAUUUGAAACUGUCAGGCUGGAGUCUUGUAGAGGGGGGUAGAAUUCCAGGUGUAGCGGUGAAAUGCGUAGAGAUCUGGAGGAACACCGGUGGCGAAGGCGGCCCCCUGGACAAAGACUGACGCUCAGGUGCGAAAGCGUGGGGAGCAAACAGGAUUAGAUACCCGUGUAGUCCCUGUCUCUUAUAC